rnacentral:rRNA from 1 species
AUUGAACGCUGGCGGAAUGCUUUACACAUGCAAGUCGAACGGCAGCACGGACUUCGGAUGCUGACGAGUGGCGAACGGGUGAGUAAUAUAUCGGAACGUGCCCAGUCGUGGGGGAUAACGUAGCGAAAGUUACGCUAAUACCGCAUACGAUCUAUGGAUGAAAGCGGGGGAUCGCAAGACCUCGCGCGAUUGGAGCGGCCGAUAUCAGAUUAGGUAGUUGGUGGGGUAAAGGCUCACCAAGCCAACGAUCUGUAGCUGGUCUGAGAGGACGACCAGCCACACUGGAACUGAGACACGGUCCAGACUCCUACGGGAGGCAGCAGUGGGGAAUUUUGGACAAUGGACGCAAGUCUGAUCCAGCCAUUCCGCGUGCAGGAUGAAGGCCCUCGGGUUGUAAACUGCUUUUGUACGGAACGAAAAGGUCUCUCCUAAUACGAGGGGCUCAUGACGGUACCGUAAGAAUAAGCACCGGCUAACUACGUGCCAGCCGCCGCAGUAA